rnacentral:rRNA from 1 species
UGGGGAAUAUUGCACAAUGGGCGCAAGCCUGAUGCAGCCAUGCCGCGUGUAUGAAGAAGGCCUUCGGGUUGUAAAGUACUUUCAGCGGGGAGGAAGGCGAUAAGGUUAAUAACCUUGUCGAUUGACGUUACCCGCAGAAGAAGCACCGGCUAACUCCGUGCCAGCAGCCGCGGUAAUACGGAGGGUGCAAGCGUUAAUCGGAAUUACUGGGCGUAAAGCGCACGCAGGCGGUCUGUCAAGUCGGAUGUGAAAUCCCCGGGCUCAACCUGGGAACUGCAUUCGAAACUGGCAGGCUAGAGUCUUGUAGAGGGGGGUAGAAUUCCAGGUGUAGCGGUGAAAUGCGUAGAGAUCUGGAGGAAUACCGGUGGCGAAGGCGGCCCCCUGGACAAAGACUGACGUUCAGGUGCGAAAGCGUGGGGAGCAAACA